GCUUACGACCACCACUGCCUGAUACGCCUGAUCUCGUCUGAUCUCGGAAGCUAAGCAGGGUCGGGCCUGGUUAGUACUUGGAUGGGAGACCGCUGGGAAUACAGGUGCUGUAAGCU
rnacentral:rRNA from 1 species